rnacentral:rRNA from 1 species
UACAGAGGUCUCAAGCGUUGUUCGGAUUCAUUGGGCGUAAAGGGUGCGUAGGCGGGUCUUUAAGUCAGGGGUGAAAUCCUGGAGCUCAACUCCAGAACUGCCUUUGGGACUGCGAGGCUUUGAGGACUGGAGAGGUGAGUGGAAUUCCCAGUGUAGAGGUGAAAUUCGUAGAUAUUGGGAAGAACACCGGUGGCGAAGGCGGCUCACUGGCCAGUUUCUGACGCUGUAGCGCGAAAGCGUGGGGAGCAAACAGG